rnacentral:tRNA from 1 species
GGGCAUGUGGUUUGGUGGUAUAAUAUUUGAUUAACAUUGCGAAAGGUCCGGCGUUCAAUUUGCCGCUUGUCUA